rnacentral:tRNA from 1 species
AUGCUUUUAACCAAAAAGGUGUUAGCUUUGAAGGGGCUAAGUAUUUUAAGCAUC